rnacentral:rRNA from 1 species
GCUUCCCUGCCCAGAGUUCAGACUCUUUCCCCUCUUGCCUCUUUGCCAUGGACCGAAUAAACAUGUGGAUUCCACGCGGGAAGACACUCCCUGCUGUUGACCGCCUCCUCCUCCCCCCCUCCCGCCAUUCCAUUCGGGGAAGGAAGGAAGGAAGAAGCAUGGCGGAGCAGGCAAUGGAUCGGGAAGCAAAAGAGGAAAGCAGGUGCUCGAUCGCUUGCCGGACUGGGACCGGGGAUUCUUUCAGCGGCUUGGGGGCGGCGAGCGGAGCAGGACAUCCUUCUCGAUCCGUCAGCUGGCUUGGAUCAGAUGAUAUACUUGAGGUGAAAUCUGAAAUGGGUGUGAGUAGAAUCGCUCGGAAGGAACUUCGCUGAGGGAGCUCACAACUUCAGCCUGUUUCCUUGGAGCUGGAAUCGGUUAAUAUGUCUUGCUCAGGUACUUCAAACUCUAAGAACUUCUACUUCAUGUGUGCUUUGUGACUCUCCUCCUGAGAUAUGCCAUCUGACUGGAUAUUGCUUCUACCUCGCAAUCUUUAGUGAGCCUUUUCUUCAAAAUAAGAAUCAAAGAGUGUUUAUGGUUUCAGAAAAUCCAUGAAACAUUCUAAUAUGUAAAUUUUGUACUCCCUCCGUAAAGAAAUAUAAGAGCGUUUAGAUCACUAUUUUAGUGAUCUAAACGCUCUUAUAUUUCCUUACUGAGGGAGUAAUACACUAGGAAUCUGCAAAAUUUCAUGGGAAAAUGUUUGUGACUUUGCACAGAAAACACAAAAAAAUGUGAUUAUCUGUGAUAGCAGGCGCCGUUGCUAUCGUUUGCUGUUUUAGAUCACUGUAUUUAUAGUUUUUUUUAUGUCGGACAGAUUUGAAAAGAUUUUUCACACAGAAUUGUGUGGAAUGAUAGUGUGUUUCUAAUGAUAGUCCUGGCAGUCUAGACGUACACCAGAAUGACUAGGAUCGGUCCAAGGAGCUGGACGGUUCAGGAGAGUGUACUGCCUCUGCUUGAAGCCACUCGGUUUAUAGGUCGUACUAUCCGGGGUGAUUACCUGGAGUGUCCGUGGCAUGGCAUGUUGAGAUAGGGUUGGGUUGGUGUGAAGUCCCCGUCCGACCAUCCAACUCUCUAUCCAGCCUCUGCCCCAAAGUAGCUUGGUUAUUAUCCCAGGCUGUCCGGCAACAUGUUUCACUGGAGCACUUUGAAUGUAUUUACUAGCUUGAAUCCCUAGUAAUAGGGGUUUGUGGGCUGUCUAAGGCUAAUAGCCCGAAUCGUCCGUAUGUGUGAUUCUCGUAAUAAACGACUAGUUUUUUUUACUUAGCUAUAUAUAUACCUUUCUCCCCCACGGAGUUGACUACCCUGCAAGCAAAACUUCAGAUCUAGGACCCAUUGCUAUUCUCCACUAUCCCUUGGCGCCAUUUGAGCCAUUUUCUAGGAUUGGGAGAGAGAUUUGGGAGGGGGUUGGGAGGUAAGUUAAACCAAGUUCAGAUCCAAGCCUUCCCCCUCCUUUGACCAAAAGAUUUAGCAUCUGAGCAAAUUUCCAAGCCUCCCUUGAUCUUGUUACUCUUGGAGGCUGGAUAUUCCUAGGAGAUUGGUGUCACUCGUGAGCUUCUAAGUUGUGGGUUGCCCCAAAGUUUGUGAAGGUUGGAAGUCACCAUCAAGACUUACCCUAAUUGGUUGAGCUCAGGCUUUGUUGGACGAGCUUAGGGAGAAGAAGACGAGACUUGGUAUCGCAUGAUGCCUUGUUUGGUCCACCUCUCAUACGGAGUCUCCGAGGACGUGAACUUUGGGUUUCAUCUUCGUCUCUAUGCCCACUUUGCUUAUCCUUUUCCUAGCUCCCUAAAAUCAACUAAGAAAAGACAAAAAAAUGUAGUAGCUUCAAACCCCCUCUAAUUGACAUCUUUGAUCCUUUGCCAUCCUAGUGUGGCCAUUGUGGCCAAGGCUGAAGAAUUCAUGGUGUUUGUCUUUUGUGUGUGGACUCCUGAUUUGGUGAAAUGUUAUCAAGAACUCCAGUCUAAAUUCAUGGUAGCAGCGGUGAUGGUGACGCCGGGUUUGUUUUGGUUAGUGGUUCGCCUAUUUCAUAACUAUCGUGCUUUUGAUGUUCCAUACGAAUGAUCUGGCAAUGAAAACCGCGGUUCAAUAUCCGGGCCACAAUGAGUUCGGCUAAUUUAUGUUGCCACCUGUUGGGGCGGUCGACUCAUGCAGCUCUUAAUUGAUGAGGUACAACUUGUGAUAUUUGGACUUCUACAAGACUACAACCUUUUCAAUAGAUGCUCAGAGGAAUGUUGAGAUGCAAAAGACAAAGUUGGAGACCAGAUAAAUUUGAAGUGACUUCACUUGGGGCCACCAUCCUCUCCCUACCGCAAUCAUCAUGCUACUGUUGCAACUUUAACCUAAAAGAUGGUCCCACCCUAUCCCCAUGACCUAGCUGGCUCCUCUAUGCAAGCAACGUAAUCCAAAGUAUAAGUGGCAGAAAUAGACAAGAAUGAAGGUGAAAAUCGCAUGAGUCGAAGAAAAGACCGAACGAUGGCGGUUGAUCACUGCAUGCUAGUAUAUGAGAUUUAAUGGUGUCUCUCAGUGUAUUUGGAUGAUAGUGAAGGAGGGUGCAAGGAUGCAUAUAUCACUUUUAGCUUGCUCUCUUCAAGAUGAAAGUUAUCCCUUGUUUGACAAGAACAUCAUGUAUCACGCACUACCUCACCACUUAAUUUAUCCAUUAAAUUUCCUUACUUGACUCGAUCAUCAUCCAUAAUAUUGUGUGUGAUGGUGUUUUGUUGACUACAUCGUGAAUUAGGUUAUUCUAAUUUUCUUUGAUAUGCCUUUUACUUAUACUUUGAUACACAUUCGGUCUUACGGUCAGUGACCCUCACCUCAUAUUCUUUUGCUUAUUGGACCCUCAUAUUCUUUUGCCUAUCGUCCACAUACCCAAUUUGAUACUAUGGGAUACAAGACAAGGUUGCAGCAGACAAAUCUCACAAAGAAAACCACAAUGCCAAUUCAAAUGCAUAUAUGAGUGAUAUAUCUCAUUUUAAACGGUGUAUGUUCUUGAUGUAAUGUUGGAGGAAAGAAAGCACCUAUAAGUAGGGGAUCUGCCUUAAUCAAGAGGCUCACGUUAAUGAUCGACACUGACCAAAGAUGGGGCAGUGCUAUUUGGUUUGAGAUAACCCUUUAUCACCCCUUGCACCUAUAUCCUCAAAGUGAAAAUUUAGGGCAUAGAUUGAAGGGUUUGGGAUCACAGUUGUGCAUCUACAAGACCCACAAGAUGACACAUGGACUAUGGCAAGGACAACAUCCAAGAGAAAUCACAUCCUAACAAGGGGCAUAUGAGCAUAUUCAACAAUCCACACUGAUUGAAUGGCUGCCAUGUGGUAAGAUGGAAUGUUCCUCAUUGGGCAAACAAGAAUGUCAUGGUUGGGCAUGCUUGCCCCCUAUUGAGGUAUGAGGCUGGUGUGCGAGGGACCAAUGACGCCAUGGUUGGGCAUGCUCCAAGAUAACCGAGAUUGGUGAGAGUACCCAUAGCGCAACGUGUGGUAUCUCAGCAUGGCCAAGAACACACACGGAUACACAAACUCAGGAGGGACAAAGAACAUACACAGAUACACAAACUCGGGAGGGACAUAUAAAUCAAUGAUUCGACCUAUUCCACACCAGAGAUUAUUGACAUCGUCGUGUGUGCAAUUGUGCAUGUGUGUAUAGAUCUUUAUUUUGUACAGAAUGGGUGUUGGACUCAUUUGUUUUGUUAUCGUUUUAACCCGACCUUUGAGCUAAUAAAAACCCUCCUUUUAAAAAAUGCAUACAACUUCUAACUCAUUUGAUAAAGCAAUACAAGUCUUGACUUGGCGGUGACUUGGUGUGUAUUAGGGUUCUUCUAAUCCCUAGUUAAAUGUUAGUUUUGUGAUUCAUUAACAUAAUAGCUCCAUAUAAACAAAAGUAUUUUGCUACAUGGGAAGUUUCGUGGCUCUAAGAGCAUCUACAAUCGGAUUGGGUAAAUUCGACCCCCUAAAUGUUUGAGGGCGCGUCCGCGGACAGCUCCGGCUGGCCCCUCAUUUGUCCUCCCGGACAACCAUACCCCUCAUAUGCAAACCCUCGUAUUCAGGAAAAGCCAUGCACGUCCAUCAUAUAGCAUCACUUCAUCACGAACUCAACAAUUCAAUAAAGCAACAUAAACCACAAUUCAACACGUGCCAAAAUAAAAGUUAAGAACUCAUAGAUAGGCGAUACAAGAAUGCAUACUCUUUGCGCGCCGGUCUCCUUCUUCUUCAUGUGUAGCAACUUCUUGCUUCCCUCCUCCAAGAGGGUAGCGUCCUGCAACAUGAUCCUUGAAUCCUCUGCAUCGCUUGCAGGCUUCAACCUCUUUUUGCCGAUCUCAAUUGUUUGUAUUGUCUUCUCCUUUUCAAACUCUCAUUUAGCAUAGUUCUCUUGCUUCCAAGUCUAUCUUCUCUCUCUCUCAAUGCUCAACUUCUCUUUCGCCCUUUCUCGGUCGAACAACACCAUCUCCCUUUGAACAUCCAAGAAGAGGUUGUACUUCUCCUUCUCCUCCUUGGCGAAAAAAUGCUUGUCCAUGCCACAAACAUUUUCUUGCCGCACCAUCAUGCACGGCCCUCUCCUUCUCCCACUCAUUUCCCCUCACCUGCCAAUUCCUCUUUGGCACAGUUGGUUGUUCAUCCCUCCACCUCUCCACUUUGCUUGUCGUCGUCAUCCAAUCCAACAGAUUGUUAUGAGCUUGAGCCAUUGUUCUUCUUCAACUUCUUGGUGGGGGUUUUUGAGCUCUGUAACGACAAGUUACCACUUCGGUUUUCCAUUCAAUUUCAACCAACAAUGGGACAACCUGAAUGGCUUGCCCUUGUUUUGGUUGUACAAAUUGGAUCCAUGCUUGUGGCCAACCAAGAUUCACACAACACAUCUUCAUGGCUUGUGAAUGUCGGACCUCUUGCCUUUGCUACCUUCUUUUUUUAGUGUGCGAUGUUUGCCCAACAUCAAACAUAGGGGAAUUGGUAUCACCCAUACCAUUAUGCCUUAGUUCUUGACCAUCAUUUAUCAUGUUCAUAAAAAAAUAUGCAUCACAAUUAAACUACCAUCCCUAAAUUGAUCCAAUUGUAUGUGCAACAAACGAACCAAGCCAUACAAUGGCAUAUGGGUCAAAAUUGUACCAUGUCUUGGCCAGCUACUUCAUUCAACAACACGUGGGCAUGCCCAACGCCGACGUUAUCCGCUGCCUUUGGAGUUGGGGCGAGUUGUACGCCAUGUCUAUGGUGGCGUCCUCUAGCAUCCAGCCAUCGAGGAUGACCCCAUUCGGAUGUUGAAACGGAGACGGGAACACCCGACGACUUGUUCCCUCUUGCGGGUAGGUGGGACGACACAGAAGUGGUCGCCAGGCCAGAUGCGCCCAAGUUCAUGUCCGCAUGCUCUUCCCCGCAGCUUCCUUCUUCACAGCUUACUGGACGCGCUACCGAGCAUGCGACUCCCUCCGGGUGAUGUUCUGUGCAUUGCAAGUGACGACGGUAGGGACCAGCACAGACUUUGCUGAACCAUCGUCUAUGGCGGUGGUGGGAGACGGGGUUCUCGGUGUCGAGAUCGGACAAUGAACGUGGACGGCGACAUAGACAUGG